rnacentral:rRNA from 1 species
UAUCUCUGUAGAGUCUGCAUAUCAAUAAGCGGAGGAAAAGAAACUAACAAGGAUUCCCUUAGUAACGGCGAGUGAAGCGGGAAGAGCUCAAAUUUGAAAUCUUCAAGGUUCUACCUUGACGAAUUGUAGUUUAAAGAAGUGUUUUCUGUUAGAUGAGUAGCAAAAGUUCCUUGGAAUGGGACAUCAUAGAGGGUGAGAAUCCCGUAUUUGGUUAUUCAUUCUAGCUUUGUGAUACACUUUCAAAGAGUCGGAUUGUUUGGGAAUGCAGUCCAAAAUGGGUGGUAAAUUUCAUCUAAAGCUAAAUAUUGGCUGAGAGACCGAUAGCGAACAAGUACCGUGAGGGAAAGAUGAAAAGAACUUUGAAAAGAGAGUUAAACAGUACGUGAAAUUGUCAAAAGGGAAGCGUUUGACACCAGUGUUGUUUUUUCCGAAAAUCAAUUACGAAUGGCUUGAUUUUGUGUUGUAUUGACCUUAUCAGCUUUCUUCACUUUUUUCGAGUCUUUCUUAAUGCACUUUUCGGUUAACAAGUCAACAUCAAUUUCUUUUGUUGUAAAAGAGUAUUCGGAAGGUGGCUUUCUUUUCGGAGAAAGUGUUUAUAGCCCUAUACUUCUACAAUCGGAGAGAUUGAGGUCUGCAGCGUAGAUCCUUCGGGGUUAGAUACACUUGUGCUAAGUCGUAGCUUUUCAUAGACAACUUGUUGACUAUGUUUAGUCAUGCGGCUUACUCGCUUGUGCUAUUUUACCUACGCUUAGGAUGUUGACUGAUAUGUAGUCGUA